rnacentral:rRNA from 1 species
UACGUAGGGUGCAAGCGUUAUCCGGAUUCACUGGGUUUAAAGGGUGCGUAGGUGGGCUGGUAAGUCAGUGGUGAAAUCUCCGAGCUUAACUCGGAAACUGCCAUUGAUACUAUCAGUCUUGAAUACCGUGGAGGUCAGUAGAAUAUGUCAUGUAGCGGUGAAAUGCUUAGAUAUGACAUAGAAUACCAAUUGCGAAGGCAGCUGGCUACACGAAUAUUGACACUCAGGCACGAAAGCGUGGGGAUCAAACAGG